UGUCAUGAAAAGAGACGAAAUGGGCGAAACAAAUUGUUGCUAAUUAGUUAAUUACACUUAUAUUCCUGUGAUUUCAAAUACCAAUUGAACUUCAUAUCUUAUAUGCUGUGCAGCUAAUUAGCCACUGUCAGUCAUCCCAACACAGCUAAUAAGCCACUGUCAGUCAUCCCAACAAAUUGCCUUACUAAAUCAUCACCCAUAUGAUAAAGCAUCAGGAAAUUUAUCCCACCUAAGGAGUAAUGCAGUUUGUUGCUGUAAUUCGAUUAUUACGGGUUUUCAUCAUGAACAUUUCAGUGUGCUUCUUAGAAAAGAGCACACAAGAUCCCCACGGACAUCCUUGAGUCAAUGCUGGAUUUCAUCCUUGACAGAAGAGGGACUUCCAGAAACAUUCUGCUCCAUCAUUAUCUUCAAGACAUACGCUCAUACAGCUUCACUACUUCAGCGCUUCUUAUGCUGCUACACAUCAACUUUUCUUGCUUCACUGGCGAGUUGGAUCACUUCAGUUGCUGUGACACACCUGUAGUCACUCACCAAGGGAUUAUGGCCAGUUACCGGACAAUUGAGUUUAUAUGCAGAGGAGAUGUUGAGAAGAUGGACACCAAAAGGUCGCCGGUAUUUCAAAAAUGUCAGCGCGGAUCAUCAUUUGUUGUUGGUAAUAUGUUUUGUGUUAGUUAACCCGUUGGCUGCCACACCUUUGUUCCCCCAUGUUAGCUCUGUAGCACGGGCCCGCGCUGUUCGGUCUCGUGGUUUAUUUGCCGCGGGGUCGGACAGUUGCACCAGCCCCAGAUUUGGCCGAAAGGCCCUGUUAGGCAA
rnacentral:lncRNA from 1 species